UGGGGAAUAUUGCACAAUGGGCGCAAGCCUGAUGCAGCCAUGCCGCGUGUAUGAAGAAGGCCUUCGGGUUGUAAAGUACUUUCAGCGGGGAGGAAGGCGAUAAGGUUAAUAACCUUGCCGAUUGACGUUACCCGCAGAAGAAGCACCGGCUAACUCCGUGCCAGCAGCCGCGGUAAUACGGAGGGUGCAAGCGUUCAUCGGAAUUACUGGGCGUAAAGCGCACGCAGGCGGUCUGUCAAGUCGGAUGUGAAAUCCCCGGGCUCAACCUGGGAACUGCAUUCGAAACUGGCAGGCUAGAGUCUUGUAGAGGGGGGUAGAAUUCCAGGUGUAGCGGUGAAAUGCGUAGAGAUCUGGAGGAAUACCGGUGGCGAAGGCGGCCCCCUGGACAAAGACUGACGCUCAGGUGCGAAAGCGUGGGGAGCAAACA
rnacentral:rRNA from 1 species